UACAGAGGUCUCAAGCGUUGUUCGGAUUCAUUGGGCGUAAAGGGUGCGUAGGUGGCGCCGUAAGUCAGGUGUGAAAUCUCGGGGCUUAACUCCGAAACUGCAUUUGAUACUGCGGUGCUUGAGGACUGGAGAGGAGACUGGAAUUCAUGGUGUAGCAGUGAAAUGCGUAGAGAUCGUAAGGAAGGCCAGUGGCGAAGGCGAGUUCCUGGACAGUGACUGACGCUGAGGCACGAAGGCCAGGGGAGCAAACGGG
rnacentral:rRNA from 1 species